GGUGCCUUCUGGAGAGGAGCAGAGAUACACCUGCCAUGUGCAGCAUGAGGGUCUGCCCAAGCCCCUCACCCUGAGAUGGGCUGUCUUCCCAGCCCACCAUCCCCAUCGUGGGCAUCAUUGCUGGCCUGGUUCUCCUUGGAGCUGUGAUCACUGGAGCUGUGGUCGCUGCCGUGAUGUGGAGGAGGAAGAGCUCAGAAAAGGAGGGAGUUACACUCAGGCUGCAAGCAGUGACAGUGCCCAGGGCUCUGAUGUGUCCCUCACAGCUUGUAAAGUGUGAGACAGCUGCCUUGUGUGGGACUGAGAGGCAAGAGUUGUUCCUGCCCUUCCCUUUGUGACUUGAAGAACCCUGACUUUGUUUCUGCAAAGGCACCUGCAUGUGUCUGUGUUCGUGUAGGCAUAAUGUGAGGAGGUGGGGAGACCACCCCACCCCCAUGUCCACCAUGACCCUCUUCCCACGCUGACCUGUGCUCCCUCCCCAAUCAUCUUUCCUGUUCCAGAGAGGUGGGGCUGAGGUGUCUCCAUCUCUGUCUCAACUUCAUGGUGCACUGAGCUGUAACUUCUUCCUUCCCUAUUAAAAUUAGAACCUUAG
rnacentral:lncRNA from 1 species